rnacentral:rRNA from 1 species
GAGUUUGAUCAUGGCUCAGAACGAACGCUGGCGGCAGGCUUAACACAUGCAAGUCGAGCGCGUAGCAAUACGAGCGGCAGACGGGUGAGUAACGCGUGGGAAUCUACCCCUUACUACGGAAUAACGCAGGGAAACUUGUGCUAAUACCGUAUGUGGCCGAGAGGCGAAAGAUUUAUCGGUAAGGGAUGAGCCCGCGUUGGAUUAGCUAGUUGGUGGGGUAAAGGCCUACCAAGGCGACGAUCCGUAGCUGGUCUGAGAGGAUGAUCAGCCACACUGGGACUGAGACACGGCCCAGACUCCUACGGGAGGCAGCAGUGGGGAAUAUUGGACAAUGGGCGCAAGCCUGAUCCAGCCAUGCCGCGUGAGUGAUGAAGGCCCUAGGGUUGUAAAGCUCUUUCACCGGUGAAGAUAAUGACGGUAACCGGAGAAGAAGCCCCGGCUAACUUCGUGCCAGCCGCCGCAGUAAG